rnacentral:rRNA from 1 species
GAUGAACGCUGGCGGCGUGCCUAAUACAUGCAAGUCGAGCGAACGGACGAGAAGCUUGCUUCUCUGAUGUUAGCGGCGGACGGGUGAGUAACACGUGGAUAACCUACCUAUAAGACUGGGAUAACUUCGGGAAACCGGAGCUAAUACCGGAUAAUAUUUUGAACCGCAUGGUUCAAAAGCGAAAGACGGUCUUGCUGUCACUUAUAGAUGGAUCCGCGCUGCAUUAGCUAGUUGGUAAGGUAACGGCUUACCAAGGCAACGAUGCAUAGCCGACCUGAGAGGGUGAUCGGCCACACUGGAACUGAGACACGGUCCAGACUCCUACGGGAGGCAGCAGUAGGGAAUCUUCCGCAAAGGGCGAAAGCCUGACGGAGCAACGCCGCGUGAGUGAUGAAGGUCUUCGGAUCGUAAAACUCUGUUAUUAGGGAAGAACAUAUGUGUAAGUAACUGUGCACAUCUUGACGGUACCUAAUCAGAAAGCCACGGCUAACUAUGUG